CCUACGGGAGGCAGCAGUGAGGAAUAUUGGUCAAUGGACGAGAGUCUGAACCAGCCAAGUAGCGUGAAGGAUGACUGCCCUAUGGGUUGUAAACUUUUUUUAUAUGGGAAUAAAAUGUUCCACGUGUGGGAUUUUGUAUGUACCAUAUGAAUAAGGAUCGGCUAACUCCGUGCCAGCAGCCGCGGUAAUACGGAGGAUCCGAGCGUUAUCCGGAUUUAUUGGGUUUAAAGGGGGCGUAGGUGGAUUGUUAAGUCAGUUGUGAAAGUUUGCGGCUCAACCGUAAAAUUGCAGUUGAAACUGGCAGUCUGGAGUACAGUAGAGGUGGGCGGAAUUCGUGGUGUAGCGGUGAAAUGCUUAGAUAUCACGAAGAACUCCGAUUGCGAAGGCAGCUAACUGGACUGCAACUGACACUGAGGCUCGAAAGUGUGGGUAUCAAACAGGAUUAGAUACCCGUGUAGUC
rnacentral:rRNA from 1 species